rnacentral:rRNA from 1 species
UACAGAGGGGGCGAGCGUUGUUCGGAAUUAUUGGGCGUAAAGGGCGCGUAGGCGGUGCGGUAAGUCACCUGUGAAAUCUCCUGGCUCAACUGGGAGCUUGCAGGCGAAACUGCCGUGCUGGAGUGUGGGAGAGGUGCGUGGAAUUCCUGGUGUAGCGGUGAAAUGCGUAGAUAUCAGGAGGAACACCUGUGGCGAAAGCGGCGCACUGGACCACAACUGACGCUGAGGCGCGAAAGCUAGGGGAGCAAACAGG